CCUUGCCGGACCAUGGCCGGCGUUCAUUUCGGGACCUCAUAGUUAAACUUAAUGGCUCAUCGAAUUUGCCUGCUGUUUCUUGCAUUAUUUCUGAUGGUGUGAUGAGCUUCACUUUAGAGGUUGCUUGUGAAUUUGGCAUUCAAGAGAUGAUUCUUUUUACUCCUAGUGCUGUUGGCAUGUUGGGUUAUCUUCACUUUGAAGAGCUCAAGAGAAGAGGCCUUGUUCCACUAAAAGGUGCUAGUUGCUUGACUAAUGGAUAUCUUGAUAAUGUAAUUGAUUGGAUACCUGUAAUGGAAGGAAUCCGAUUAAAAGAUCUACCAACCUUCAUCCGCACCACAGAUCCAAAUGACAUAUUCUUCAAUUACAACUUAAAAUCACUCAACAAUUCCAUGAAAGCUAAGGGGCUUAUCCUCAACACAUUUGAUGAGCUAGACAAAGAGGUCUUGGAUGUGAUAAACACCGCAUUUCCAGUGUUGUACACCAUUGGCCCAUUAUCAAUGCUUCAGCAAAAUCUUUCUUCACCAAAUUUUGAGUCCAUUGAAUCAAAUUUGUGGAAGGAAGACAAUGAAUGCUUAAGCUGGCUAGAUAAAAGAGAGCCCAAAUCAGUUGUGUAUGUAAACUUCGGAAGCCUAAUUACAGUGAGUCAAGAGCAGCUGAAGGAGUUUGCUUGGGGAUUUGCUAAUAGCAAGUACCCAUUUCUGUGGGUGAUUAGGCCAGACCUUCUUGAUGGUGGAGAGAAGAUAAUGUCCAAAGACUUCGUGGAUGAAAUAAAUGGUAGAGGUUUACUUGUCGGUUGGUGUCCCCAAGAGACAGUUCUCGGUCAUGCUUCAGUUGGAGGGUUUUUGACACAUUGUGGAUGGAACUCUACCUUGAAGAGUAUUUGUCAAGGAGUGGCAUUGAUUUGUUGGCUUUUUUUCGCUGACCAACAGACGAAUUGCUUGUAUUCAUGUGAGAAAUGGGGGAUUGGGAUGGAGAUUGAUAGUGAUGUUAAGAGGGAGAAAGUUGAACAGGUUGUGAGGGAGUUGAUGGAAGGAAAGAAAGGGAAGGAAAUGAGAGUCAAGGCGAUGGAUUGGCAGAGGAAAGCUCAAGUUGCCA
rnacentral:misc_RNA from 1 species